CUGGGAUCCUGGGUGCCUCACCGGAUGGUCUGGGAUCCUGGGUGCCCCUCACCAGAUGGUCUGGGAUCCUGGGUGCCUCACCGGAUGGUCUGGGAUCCUGGGUGCCCCUCACCAAACGGUCUGGGAUCCUGGGUGCCUCACCGGAUGGUCUGGUGGUGGAGGUCAAGUGUUCCUAUGGUGCCUAAAAGGGACCUGACCAUUGAAGAGGAGGUCGAAUGAUUUCUAUAUCCAAGCGGAGGGAAGGUCUUACUGCCUCUGUGACGACCAUCCUUCCUGGCACCAGGUCCAAGUCCAAGGUCAGUUCCACAUCACCGGAAGGGACACCUGCUUCUUCGUUAUCGUGGACCACCACAGCCUCCCGUCCAGCGUGACGACCUCUGGCACACUCAUAUUGCUGGACUAGAGAAGUGUUUCAAGGACCACAUGCUCCCAAAGGCAGCACUGCAACAGUGAACUGUAGAUUUAUUGUAAAUAGGUUUUACAACAGUGAACUGUAGAUUUAUUGUAAAUAGGUUUUACAACAGUGAACUGUAGAUUUAUUGUAAAUAGGUUUUACAACAGUGAACUGUAGAUUUAUUGUAAAUAGGUCUUACAACAGUGAACUGUAGAUUUAUUGUAAAUAGGUUUUACAACAGUGAACUGUAGAUUUAUUGUAAAUAGGUUUUACAACAGUGAACUGUAGAUUUAUUGUAAAUGGUUUUACAACAGUGAACUGUAGAUUUAUUGUAAAUAGGUUUUACAACAGUGAACUGUAGAUUUAUUGUAAAUAGGUUUUACAACAGUGAACUGUAGAUUUAUUGUAAAUGGUUUUUAAACACUGUCACUGGAUCAUCAUUCUCGUCACGGGCCUCGUCCUCCUGUCAGUACCUGCUUUCAGGGAAGACGAUGGUCCAAAAAUAUUCCACAUAGUUCAUACACACACACGAGACUCCCAGAAUAAUGUAUAUUACACACACUAGACUCCCAGAAUAAUGUAUAUUACACACACUAGACUCCCAGAAUAAUGUAUAUUACACACACUAGACUCCCAGAAUAAUGUAUAUUACACACAUGAGACUCCCAGAAUAAUGUAUAUUACACACACUAGACUCCCAGAAUAAUGUAUAUUA
ensembl:lncRNA